UGUGGUAUUAAACAUCUGGUGAUUCCUUUUCAAACAGGCAUUAGCUUUCUUAGAUUUAGGGCACCACUCACAUAGAAAGACUGUUGUCCUUGUAUGCACACCAGACGAAGAACCUCCCCACCAAACUUGAAGAAGCUCGUUGCCCCUCCAUAUUAUCCAAAAAUCCAAGGCACUGGAACACCACACAACAGAGGAAAAAACCCUAGCUGCCAAAAAGAACCCUGCACAAAAAACCCGUAUCCUGAUCGCCCCCCAAACAGCCUCACAGGAACCCUACAAACAGCCCCACAACAACCAACGCACAGAAAAAGAAGAAUGCACAGACCACCAGUACAACGAAGUGACACAUAAAGGUUUUGAGAGAUAAUGUUCAGCAAUAAGGAUUGCAUCGCUUUGAAAGAAAUUUUUUCUCACAUCUACCCAUCUCAGUUUUUUCCCGAGACACUUAAUUUAUGUUUACCCUCUCACUCUGACUAUUUAGCUUCUGGGUGGGGACAAUCUUAUUCGUAAUAGAAGACUGCAUUUUGGGAUUUAGUUGUAGUAAGCGCAGCUCAUAUGGAUUUGAUUUCGCACUGUU